rnacentral:tRNA from 1 species
GGGGCCUUAGCUCAGCUGGGAGAGCACCUGCUUUGCAAGCAGGGGGUCGGGGGUUCGAUCCCCCCAGGCUCCA